rnacentral:rRNA from 1 species
CACAAGCGGUGGAGCAUGUGGUUUAAUUCGAUGCAACGCGAAGAACCUUACCUACUCUUGACAUCCAGAGAACUUUCCAGAGAUGGAUUGGUGCUUCGGGAACUCUGAGACAGGUGCUGCAUGGCUGUCGUCAGCUCGUGUUGUGAAAUGUUGGGUUAAGUCCCGCAACGAGCGCAACCCUUAUCCUUUGUUGCCAGCGAUUUGGUCGGGAACUCAAAGGAGACUGCCGGUGAUAAACCGGAGGAAGGUGGGGGAUGACGUCAAGUCAUCAUGGCCCUUACGAGUAGGGCUACACACGUGCUACAAUGGCGUAUACAGAGGGAAGCGAGAGUGCGAGCUGGAGCGAAUCUCACAAAGUACGUCUAAGUCCGGAUUGGAGUCUGCAACUCGACUCCAUGAAGUCGGAAUCGCUAGUAAUCGCAAAUCAGAAUGUUGCGGUGAAUACGUUCCCGGGCCUUGUACACACCGCCCGUCACACCAUGGGAGUGGGUUGUACCAGAAGUAGAUAGCUUAACCUUCGGGAGGGCGUUUACCACGGUAUGAUUCAUGACUGGGGUGAAGUCGUAACAAGGUAACCA